ACGGCCGUACCAUGCUGAAUAUACCGGUUCUUUAGAUCACCGAAGUCAAGCAUCAUUGGGCGCGGUCAGUACUUGGGUGGGUGACCACCUGGGAACACCGCGUGCCGUU